GCCCCGACCUCCACCUGGGCUGCCCCGGAGCUACCCCCUGGGAUGCCAGCUGCGUGCUUUGGGCGCUCCUACUCCUGCUCGCGCUUCUCAGGCGGAAGGGGGUGUGAGUGGCGAGGCAUUUCCAGUUUCCCCCAAAGUCCUGAACUAUGAUGACCGGCCACCACAGAGGAGCAGGUGUCUGUGUCUGAGCAGCCUGCUGGGACUGAGCCACACACCGACAUCCAGGCCCCACAAGUCCUCCAAGGCCUAUCAUCGCAUGGCCUUUAGCUUCUUGGACCUCAGUUUUCCAAACGUUAAGUCCAGGAAUGGCGUCCCUGGGCCAAGCCGUGACUUGUCCACUUUCUGGGACCCUGGCUCUUCUGUUCUGAUACUGUCCCAGCACCCCACCCUCACCACCACGCUGAUGGCGGGUGAGCAUCAUCAGCUCUUCAGGGAGAUGCUGGGUGAUCUGUGGAACAGCUUAUAGUGACACACACCAGAAGGGCUUCUCUUCAGCCCCAGCCAGCAUGGAAUACCGAGUAAAAUGACUUUGUCUCAGCCAGAGGAAUGUCAUCAGCAGGGGAUGUUUUUCUCCAGAUCUAGCUGUGUGUUUUCCAUAAGGUUUCCUCUGUUGUGGCUUUCCAGAUAGAGCCUAGAGGGCGGGAGAUGAGGCCUGGAAGGGGUAAGGCCCAGGGGAUGGCUUGGGGGGACGGGAGUCUUUUGUGCAGGGGACUGAGCUGUCCCUGGACAUUCCUUCGCAGACCUGCAGUGCCCACAUGACUGUAUGCCUCUUCCUCACACCUAGCAGCCUGCUUACCUCCCUUUGGCCCUCCCUGUCCCCCAGCAUUGCACUACCCACCCCCCAGAGACUGGGGAACAGACCAGAAAGCAAGCAAGUCUCAGCCAGCAGCUCAGCCCAGGGAGAGGCUCUCAGCUUUCUGGGUCCCCUGCUAGGAAGAGUCUGGCCUGGGGAUCUCUACACUCCCUCCUCCUCGGGACUGGUUCCUGAGCUGCAACACCCAGCAAUCUGAGAUUUCCCUCUAUGUUCUUUCUCCUUCUCUAUGAGGAAGCGGGAUGAUGGGAAGGUGGGUUGCACAAUAGUGUCUACCUUCUUCUACCUGGUGACUCACCUGCCUGCUUGGUGGAGGCUAGAGUAGGCUUUACAGGAGAAGGAGCCGAGUCCCACAGGCUCUGCUACUAGCAUAAAGAGCAUGCAAAUUAGCACCUGCUAUUUUCAGCCAACAGGUCAAGGCACUUUGGGUAACCGAACAGCAGCGCUGAGGCCAAGUGCUGUCUGGGGGCUUUUGUGCAGGCAGGAAGAUGCGGCCUCCCCUGUCAGCAGCCCCAGCUUGUGUGCUUGGAAAGGCCCUGCCUGCCCUUGCCCACCACGGGGCUGAGACAGAGUCAGGGUGUGGGUGUGGGUGUGGUGGCCUAGUUGCCUUGACUACAGUGGGGCAGGUACACAGGGGGUGACUCUGAGCUUCUUUCUGGGUCCCAGGCUGCAGAGUCGUGGCCUGAGGAGGGGCCGUGGGGACAGCUGGGGCACAUGUGGUGGAGGGGGGACACCUGCUGAGAGGCAGCGGGGAGCAGGGCACUUUUCCAGAAAGAAAACCCAGCCAAAGACGGGGCAGGAAAAAGGCCCAUCUACCUCGGACAGGCCUCCGCGGUGUUCCUCCGGCGCUUCUCUCAGAGCCCUUGAGAGCCAUGAUCUCAUUUGUCUCGCAUGCCAGGACCAUCAGAGUGACUCUUUACAAGGGGAACCUGAGGCAUAGAAAGCCCAGGAAAUACCCAAAGCA